rnacentral:tRNA from 1 species
GGUUGCUCAGUGGUUAGAGCAUCAGACUGAAAACCGAGAAGUUCCGGAUUCGAGUUCCGGCC